GUAGUCGUGGCCGAGUGGUUAAUGCGAUGGACUAGAAAUCCAUUGGGCUCUGCCCGCGCAGGUUCGAAUCCUGACGAUUACG
rnacentral:tRNA from 1 species